AUGUUAUCACUGUUUUGAUGAGAACUUUUCUGGCCCUGGUUCGAGUUCCUCAAUAUCUGUCAAUUACCAUCAAUUCAGUGAUGCUCCUGCAACUUAUUGUUCCGCUCCGAGCUGUUAUAAUGCAUGUUCACAGUCCUUCAUGACAGCUUCUUCAUCGCUUUCUUCGAAUCUGUCUUCCUUUUGCCUACUCAGAUGUGGUACCUGAACUCUGGUGCAACUAAUCACAUUACCCCAAAUAUGAAUGGUCUUCAUAAUGCUUCUGCUUAAACAGGUACCAG
rnacentral:lncRNA from 1 species